rnacentral:rRNA from 1 species
UACGAGAGGCCCAAACGUUACUCGGAAUUACUGGGCUUAAAGAGUUCGUAGGCGGCGCAGAAAGUAGGGUGUGAAAGCCCUCGGCUCAACCGAGGAAUUGCGCUCUAAACUACUGUGCUUGAGGAAUCUAGAGGUGAGCGGAACUGAUGGUGGAGCGGUGAAAUGCGUUGAUAUCAUCAGGAACACCGGAGGCGAAGGCGGCUCACUGGGGAUUUUCUGACGCUGAGGAACGAAAGCCAGGGGAGCGAACGGG